rnacentral:misc_RNA from 1 species
GAUCUAUCUGGAACUUCUCCUCUCUCUGGUUUUCCACUCCUGAAACAAUCCCACUCACUUGGGUAACUGCAACAUCCUCACGAAUACUAUUAUCUACUCCCAAAGUAAAAGAUUCCCUCUUUGGGGAAUUCACUUCCUCCUUACUCUCCAUAAAUUCAGUUUCAUCAGACCUCCUCUUGACGUCAGAUUCCAUCUUCAUCGGCUCCGGUACCGGAUCUACUGCCGCCGGCAAACUUUGAGCAGAACCACUUAAAUCAUAUAAAGAAACAACAUUUUCAGCAGCAGACUGUGGGUUCUUCUCCAAAUUAGGUGAAAAAACCUCUAACUUCAUUGUUGUCUGAUCCAUCUCAACUUUAGCUGUAGAAGAUGAAAUGGGGCUGCUUCUUACACUAAAUCCUCCAGGAUUUUCCAAGACUUGCCUUGGUCUUUUCCUCUUUGGAGCAACAACAGAUAAAGGAGUUGCUGAUGAGUUUGAAUUAGAAGCAGGAGAUGAAACUCUGGAUCUGUUAUUAACUUCUCUUGUAUCAUUUGGUACACUUUCUUUUUUUGAAGGUCCUUGUGACUGAGUCAUCAAUCCAUACAGAACUUCAGCAAUUUCAAUCUCAAGCUCUUCAGGGUUAGAUGAAGAAGCUUUUGGAGGUGACUUUGCCGGCGGCCGCUUUUGUCCAUUAGGCUUAAUUUUUUUUCUGACUGAAACGUUAGAUGAAGAUGGAGAUAAAGGAGCUGCCGGCGAUGGUGAUGUAGCCGGGAUGUUCUGUCCCACCGGCGAAGCUGUCGAUACUUGCUGAUGAAUUUGGUCUCCGGUGACAACACCACUGUUACCACCACCACCACUAGUCCCAGAAAUCCAAUCAUGAGACCUCUUUGUAGAUGCAGAACGAGCUUUUCUUGGAACAGAAACACCAAUCAUUUCAUCACCAGUUUUCCAUACAGGUGCUGCUCUAAACACCUUUCCACCAACAUUUGGUGGAAAAUUUUUCCGAGGCGGUAUAUGAUGAUGGUUAUGAUUGUUGUUAUGGUGAUGAUGAUGAUUUGAAAUCGCCGACCCUCCCAUCGUCGCCGGUGCCGGGUUCGGCGGCGGCAACAAUCUUGUACUAGCUGAAACAACGUUUGUUGUUGUUGUCGUCGUCUCCUCAUCAUCUUCAUCUUCUUCAUCGUUUACACUUUCUUCUGAACUAUCAUCUCCACCAUCUUCUCCACCACCACCACCUCUGUGCAUCAUCAAUCUAUCACCUCUUCUUCUUUUACUCCGACUUGACCUAUCUCUAUCUCUAUCUCUAAUAUCCCUCUCUCUAAUAUCCCUUUCUCUAUCUCUUUCUCUUUCUCUAUCCCGUUCUCUGUCUCUCUCUCGAUCUCGAUCUUUCUUCACUCUCUCCCUUAACCUGACAGAUUCUUGUAUCUCUACACCCCCUUCUUCAUCAGGGGAAUCUCUAAGACUGUUACUUCUAUGUCUGCGUCUUGAUAAUCCAUUAGAUGUGGCGGCUACCAUACCAGUUCUUCUUGCUUCUCUAUUCCUAUCCAUUUUUUUUUCUUCUCCGGUGAAAUAAAUCAACUAACCCCAGAUGAGUUCUAGCAUAAUUCACCGGAAUCAAUGGUGGUUUUCACCGGAAAUGAAAGUUUUUUUCUUCACCUACUAACUUUCCGUCCGGCAAACAACAACAACCCCACAAAUCAAUACUUGCAAAGAUGUUAUGUUUUUACAAAUGGGUGUUUUUUUCUUGGAUUUUUUGUUUUUGC